GCGCGCGCCCGGCCCCGCCCACCCCAAACUUCUCCAGGGGCGCGCGGUCGAACCCUCUCGCCGCCCGCGUCUCGCGCGCACGCCCCCCAGCUGGUCGCCCUCGCUCCCGCCACCGCGGCCAAGGCCUGAGAGGGGACGGCGCGCAGGCGGGAUCGCGAGGCAGGGGGCCUGCGCGGCGGCCGGCGGGGAUCGCCCUGGGAGGGAGGGCCGGCCCGCGCCGCGUGCAGGCGGAUGUGAGGAGCAUCUUAAUUGGCGGGCGGGAGCGGGGCAGGUGUCACUACUGCAGCGCGCGAGGGAGCCGGCGCGCGGAGCAGAGCCGCAGCGGCCGGGCCGCCGGGAAGUGCGGAGGGGGGCCUGGACUCUGGGACCGCGGCCGUCCCGCCCGCCGCCCUCUCCACGAGCUCAGGCCCACCGCUCCCGAACGUCCCCGCUGCCCGCCACCACCGCCAUGAGAAAUAUCUUCAAGAGGAACCAGGAGCCCAUUGUGGCUCCUGCCACCACCACCAUGCCCGCGGGGCCCGCAGACAACUCCACGGCGAGCGGGGGUGCCCGGGAGGGCCCGGAGGAUGUCUUUACCAAGAUGAGGGACAGAUUCUUCAAUGAGAUGAACAAGAUCCCCCUACCCCCCUGGGCUCUGAUCGCCAUCGCUGUGGUCCUGGGCCUCCUGCUCCUUACGUGCUGCUUCUGCAUCUGCAAGAAGUGCUGCUGUAAGAAGAAGAAGAACAAGAAAGAGAAGGGCAAAGGCGCGAAGAACGCCAUGAACAUGAAGGACAUGAAGGGAGGCCAGGACGAUGACGAUGCAGAGACGGGCCUGACGGAGGGAGAAGGCGAGGGGGAGGAGGAGAAGGAGCCAGAGAACCUGGGGAAGCUGCAGUUCUCCCUGGACUACGAUUUCCAGGCCAACCAGCUCACCGUCGGCGUCCUACAGGCCGCAGAGCUGCCUGCCCUGGACAUGGGAGGCACCUCGGACCCUUACGUCAAAGUCUUCCUCCUUCCGGACAAGAAGAAGAAAUAUGAGACCAAGGUCCAUCGGAAGACGCUGAACCCCGCCUUCAAUGAGACCUUCACCUUCAAGGUGCCCUACCAGGAGCUGGGGGGCAAGACCCUGGUGAUGGCCAUCUACGACUUCGACCGCUUCUCCAAACAUGACAUCAUCGGGGAGGUGAAGGUGCCCAUGAACACCGUGGACCUCGGGCAGCCCAUCGAGGAGUGGCGGGACCUGCAGGGGGGAGAGAAGGAGGAGCCCGAGAAGCUGGGUGACAUUUGCACCUCCCUGCGCUAUGUGCCUACCGCCGGAAAGCUCACUGUCUGCAUCCUGGAGGCCAAGAACCUGAAGAAGAUGGACGUGGGGGGCCUUUCAGGUGCGAGCAGAGCAGCUGGCCACCAUCGGGGGGCGCCCGCGGGCCGCUCUCUGUGGAGCCCUGGGAUUCACAGAGGAACACAGGCUGGGGCCAGCAGCUUCGGGUCCCCAGGGCAGGGCUGGCUGGAGGUGUGGGCCUGGGAGGCAGGAUCCCAGACAGGCGUCUACUUCUCCUGGGGGCUGCGGGCCGAUGGGGAACUCAGCCCAAAGUGGUCUCUCAUCCAUCUGGGACCUUCUCAGGGAGGCUCUGCCCCAGGGGGGCUCGAGGUAAGGACGGACUUUGGGGGAGGGGGGAGCUGGGCCGCAGCACUGGGCUCUCAUGGGUCAGGAGAGUGUGCCACAUCCUGGGACCUGUCCUGCGGCCCCAGGCAGGAGCUUUCUCAUCUACACAGUCAGCAGGGUUGAUGGGACGGGGCACGGAACUCGGGGCUGCCAGAGUGGGUCCUGGAGGCACCGCCUGGGCCUGGACGUGGGCGCGGCUCAGGGCCUCUCCGGGUGGCUUCCCCGCAGACCCCUACGUGAAGAUCCACCUGAUGCAGAACGGCAAGAGGCUCAAGAAGAAGAAGACCACGGUGAAGAAGAAGACCCUGAACCCCUAUUUCAAUGAGUCCUUCAGCUUCGAGAUCCCCUUCGAGCAGAUCCAGAAGGUGCAGGUGGUGGUCACGGUGCUGGACUACGACAAGCUGGGCAAGAAUGAGGCCAUCGGCAAGAUCUUCGUGGGCAGCAACGCCACGGGCACGGAGCUGCGGCACUGGUCCGACAUGCUGGCCAACCCCCGCAGGCCCAUAGCGCAGUGGCACUCGCUCAAGCCCGAGGAGGAGGUGGAUGCGCUGCUGGGCAAGAACAAGUAGGGCCGCGGCCGCAGCCGCCUGCCGCGGACGUGGACGAGACCCAGAGCACUGGUACCUCAGUCGUCAGCCCUGGAGGUUUCCUUUUCCAUCCGUCUGUGGUCCUGCCCCCGUCCUUCUUUCUGUCCCUCUGUUUAAAGACCACCGUCCUCUGGCUGUGAGAUGGGUCCCCUUGGAGGAGAGCAAGGAGCUGGUUCUGGUGGCUGCCCGGGAGCUGUGCUUGCUGCAUGCCCAUCGCCCUCGUCCUCCACAGCUCCACCUGCCCGCCAGGAGGCUCUUUGGCAGAAGUUGUGGCAUUUCCGUGGUUUGAGUCUUCUGGACCCACAAGGUGGCAGCACUUCCUGUGUCCUGUGCGUGCAGCUCCCCGUGCUCCUGGAAGGGGCCAUGGACCAUGGGCUCGUGGGAGCAAAAGGCCCUUGGGGACCUGCCUGGAUAGCAGCCUGGUCACCAGGAGCCUCGGUCAGGUGCAGGAGCGUGGCUCCCUGGGAGGGACCGGGAGGCAGGCGGUCCAGAGCUAGGACCAGACCCUGAAGUUGUCCCCCCUUGUCACCACGGCCUCCUGCUGGUGUGGUUCCCAGGACAUCCCGGCCAGCUGUUCACUGAUUGGCCAGACUCGAAGAGGGCCCUUCCGUCCUGGGACCUCGCGUUGUUGACAGUGGGUGUCAAACUGUGAAGACAGGGGACCCCUUCCUAGAGAGGCCCCAGGGAAGUGCUGGACCGUGGCCCUUCCAGUGGGAGAUGGACGUGGCUGCCUUUCCAGAACGGGAGCCGCGCGGUUCCUGGGUGGGGCUCCCCGUUACGCUUUUCUCAUUUGAUCUCCACGGACGGGCGCUGCCUAAAGCGGAGCCUGGGAAAUUUGAAAGGCAGGUGUAAGUGUCCUUGUUCCCUGGUCCAGGUAAGAGGGCUGGUGAGCAGAUGGCAGGGAUUCCAGGCUGGCGAGGGGCUCCUGUCAAUCCUCAGGGGCUUCUCUGUGGACCCCCAGAGGCAGGGCGAUCGGCUGGUGGGGACUCAGGCCGGUUCUGCCCCGCGGUCACUUCUGCUCACCUCUGUCCCAGUGUUGAUAAAAAAGCCAUAUAUACGUUAGCCGUUUGCACUGAGUCUCCUUGCAGACCUUCCGCCUGGGCUCGUGGCUGGAGGCUGGCACCCUGUGCUCGCACCCUGGCCUCCCUCCCUGCAUUCCUCUCUCCAGCAGAGUCCUCAUGCUGGGAGCCCUGUUCCUGGCAUCCGUGGCAGAAGUGUCCAGUCCCGUCACUGGCCACCCCAGAGGCAGAUGGGCCAUCUGGGAGGGGCUCCCACGAGAGGCUGCAGAGUCUGCUUUGCAACAGGCAGGGCUUGUGCUUCUGCUGUUUCUCAGUGGGGGCGAGGGCACCUCCUUUGGGACAUUGCGGGGUGGGGGUGGGGGCUCGGACGGCUGGUGGGGACAGGCUCCUCUUGCGGCGGCCUUGGACGUGGGGUUUUCUCACUGGACUCUGGGUGUUGACUGAAUGAUGAGAAUUCUGGUUCCAAGGACCAGACUUGUAGGACAAGAGGGUGCCUUCAAGACCGGGGUGGCCUGGCCUGGACGCUCCUGUCCCCAACUGUGGGAUCCGGUGCUUUCUCAGGGUCUCCUCACCCUCCGUGCCCCACAGUCUCCUGCUCACUCCCAUCCCUCUGGCCACCUUCUACCACCCGGGGUCUGUCUCGGCCCCCCACCCACCCUGCCCCAGCCCAGCACACCCUCUCCUGCCCGGGAUGGGGGUGGGCAGCACCGUGAGGGUCUGGCUGAGAGACUGGCAUUGGCACCUGUACAGAGCCAGGGGACCUGCAUGUGGGUUCUGGGUGGCACUUGGCAUCUGUUGGCCCAAGGAGCUCCUCUCCCCCAUCAUGCUUGGGCCUGGGGUCUGCGAUCCUGGGCUGUAGGCCCCACAUGGGACAGCGGAUCGGCUUGUGAGGGUUCUGGAGGCCUGCGGGCCGUGAGCCUUCACCCCCAUCCACUGCAGAGGGUAGCAGAGGGCAUUGUUCACAAAGGACUGAGACCAUGAAAACAAACCCAGUCCUACCUGGGAGCUAGAGGUGAGGCAGGAAAGCUCUCGUUUCUCCUUGAGUGGUCGCUGCAGAACGGAACCGACGCUGCCAGGGCUCCCCGCAGUUUUUCAGACUUUGGCCAUAGAUGCUGAGGGCUGGGGGCCACCCUUGGGCGGCCCCAACUGGGGAGGAGUGGGUGCUGGGCGCAGAUGGGAGCAGGGGUUUCACAGCCUCAGUCCUGAUCUGUGCUUGUCCCAGGAAAUCACAGGUAGCUCGUGCUCCUGCAGGAUCAGGUUGGGGUAACCGCUGGCCCAGGGCUUCAGCGAGUGGGGGGGGGAAGCUGUUCCCCUCCCCUGUUCCCUCCCUGCCCUGGGCCCUGGGUGGCAGCAGACAGGGAAGGGUCCCUGGGCCUGGGUGUGGUGGUUGUGGUCCCUCAGCCCCAGAUUGGCAGAUAAAAAUACAGGGCACCAAGUUAAAUUUGAAUUUCAGGUAAACAAUAAUUACAAAGCAUGAGUCUGUCCUGGGCGCUCUUUGGGACAUACUGAAAGCGGUUUGUCGCUUACCUGAAAUUCUCCAUCCCUGCCCUGCCCUGUGACCGCUCCUGCCACCCUCCCCUGCCCCAAGCCCCAGGCCAGGAUUGGGUCAUCCGGACUUUAGCCCAUUUUCCGAGCUGCAGUAUUGGGAAGGGGACACUGUGACUUGACCACACAGAAUAUAUUUUUUAGUGACAACAAAACAAGAACCUUCUGAAGCCAUCUGAUCCCUGUCUGCUCCUCCCCAUGCUUCAGUUUCACACCCAGAGGCAGGUCACCCAGAAACACGUGUGUCCUGUCAAAUCCAGAUGCAUGUCCGACUUGGUGUAAACAGCCGCAUGGCCGUGCCGAGAGCCCCCGCCCCACCUUACACACCUGGAGGCUGCUCCUCGGUUUUAUGUGUCGAGUCUCAUCCCCCCCCAUCCCACCCCUGUGGGCGCUGAGGGACCAGGGACUCCCCGCAGGCCAGAGCCCAGGUGCCCCGCCUGCUGCUCCCGCGCCCGUCUGUGUGCGGUGCCCCUUCUGUCACUGUUUGAAUUAACUGAAAAGCCAUAAUGGGGCCUCCUGCAGGAGCCCUCGGGAGCCCCCGUCCUCUGCCGGCUCCCACAGAACACUUGUGAAGGGCUCACCUGUCGUCGCCCUCUGCCCUCAGCUCCAUGUCUCCAGGUGGAUGGUGUCAGAGCUCCUGGUGGGGCCUCAGCAGAUGGUCCCAUCAGUGGUGGGGCCCUGGGGUGGUGGCCAGCAUGCAGGAGCUGUCAUGGCUUUGUCUGUCUGUCCGUCUGAGGUCAGGUCCCUGCUCCGCUGGGCAUGACAGAAGCAGCCCCGUCUCCGUAACACGUGGGCUGGGGCAGUGGCUGGCAGCAAGCAGGACGGGCUGAGCCCCGUGUGCUGCCUCCUGCAGGGAGGCCCCAGGAGGCCAGGGGGCCUCUGAGGGUGGGGGGCGGCCUCUCCCAGACCCUCUGUCAGCUCCUAGGCCCAGCCUGUACCAGGUGCUGCUAGGGGAGGGGAGGUGUGGACUGUGCCAAGAGGACUUCAGCUCCCGGCCGGCAGGUCCUGGCCCGCGAGAGCAGCUCCUGGCAGGGUGAGGAAGGGGAGGCGGGAGGAGCGGGCUCCAGGCCAGAGGUGGGGAGGUGGGCUUGUGUCCACAAAGCUGGACCCUGGUGCUGGGGGCAGGGCAGAGGCAGAGGAUGGCCGAGGCUAGGGUACGAGGGUGUGGAGGAAGGAUGCUUCCUCAUCCCCUGGGCACCACCCCCCCAGGGGGGGGCAAGAGAUAAGGGCCCUCCAGGUGGCUGGUGGGGGGCCUCCAGGACCCUCUGCACAGAAGCCUGAUGUUCUGCCCGACUCCCCCCACCUGAGGACUUGGUUUACUGCUUCUGAAUUCUGGGAUCUGAAAACUGUGAGACCAGGGUGGCUGGGCCCCAGGCCACCCUGGGGUGUGUGGCCCCACCAGGACCCCUGCCAGGUCUUCACAGGAAGGACACAUGUACAGCCCCCCCACCCCCCGCCUGGCAGCACCCCCCCCCCCAUGUGACUCUGUUCUUGUCUGGUCUCUCGUCAGUCUGUUCUUUUGUAAUGAGCUGCAUCUCCUUAUUAAAGAAACUCAACCCAG